CUUUAUUUAAAGAACAUUACUAAUAAAAACUUUAUCUUUGUGCCACCUGGUGGGUCAAUAUAUAACUGAAGGACUUUAGGAUAUAUCUGCCUACAUUUUUAUUAAAAGCAAAAAUGUUAUGUUCAUUAUGAUCAUGUCUUUACAAAUUACAUAAUUAUUUAUUAUGGAAACAAUCACUUAUUAAUAAAAAUGACUGGAUAUCACUAAAAUGUCAUUUCCUGUCUUGUUUUUGUCAUUUUGUGUCUCGGUUUUGUGUCUCAUUUUUGUCACUUUGAGUCUUUUGUCAUUUUUUCUCGUUUUUGUCAUUUUGUUUCGGUUUUGUCGUUCUGUCUCGUUUAUGUCAUUUUGUGUCUCAGUUUUGUCGUUUUGUGUCUCGGUUUUGUCAUUGUGUAUCAGUUCUGUCAUUUUGUGUCUAGUUUUUGUCGUUUCCAAAUUUCCAAUCCUUGGAUUUGUUCACUUUAUGCUGAAUUUAUUAAAAUAAAUACAACAACUUAUCACAAGAGUAAAACAUGUCAAUAUAUCCAUAAAGUAAACAACAUUUAUUAAUUAAUCUAAUUUGAAUUGGGGUUGUUUGAAUCAGUUCCACAUUUGGCCACAGGGUGGUGCCGUUUUCAUCUGAGCUCAAUCAUUAAACUAUAACAGAAAAAACACAAAAAAGUAGCAUUUAGGCAGUUUUUAGACACAUUUCUGCACUUCAUAUGAAAACUGACAGGAUGUAUUGUGCUAAAAAUGUUCACACAAACAAUCCACAGACUAAAAAUCUGUGUUUUCAUUUACAUUUAUGUCUAAACAACAACAACAGUACACACAGUGGUCCCUUAGAAACAACACAAACAACACCACUUCUAUUUUACAUCUAUUUUCCGUGAUCUUAAAAGUGCAAGUGCUGAGCUAUACUUUUCUUCUUUCUAACUACAAAGCAAAUAAUGAUGAUUUCAAAAAGUCAAGACAACCUUAAUCACAGAGGUUAUAACGGUACAAAAAUAAUUUAUUCAUCGUCUCGUGGCCCCUGACAGCACAUGAUUGUUUGUUUUAAAGCUCACGGCUGCAGACGUGUUCUGUGUAAACUGAUCUGUCUGAAUGAAAACACAAAGCUCCUGUUCUGUGUUCUCCACACUCUGUAGGACUCCUAAUGCUGCUUCUGUGACGGCCUGCAGGAGGCGCUGUGGAGCUGGAAGACCUGGUCCGGUUCACUCCACUUCAUCCUCGUCUCCCUCAAAGGCUGCCUCCUGAAAGAGAUGCUGUUAGCGUCGUUUAAAAGGUUUUACAGGUCAGAUUUUGUGAUGAGGAGGAGCGUAUAUACGUACGUAUCCGCCCUGCUGCUGAGCCCAGGUGGAGUAGUAGUCCUGCAGGUAUCGGGCUCCGUGGCGCAUCAGGAGGUUCC
ensembl:lncRNA